rnacentral:rRNA from 1 species
UACGAGGGAUGCAAGCGUUAUCCGGAAUUAUUGGGCGUAAAGCGUUUGUAGGCGGGCGAGUGUGUUUAAUGUUAAAUCUUAAAGCUCAACUUUGAAAUUGCGUUAAAAACUGCUUGUCUUGAGUAUGGUAGGGGUAAAGGGAAUUCCCAGUGUAGCGGUGAAAUGCGUAGAUAUUGGGAAGAACACUAAACAGCGAAGGCACUUUACUAGGCUAAUACUGACGCUGAGAAACGAAAGGUAAGGUAGCGAAACGGAUUAGAUACCCGUGUAGUCUUACCCGUAAACUAUGGACACUAAACGGUAAAUUUUUAAUUUACUGUUAAAGCUAACGCGUUAAGUGUCCCGCCUGGGGAGUAUGCUUGCAAAAGUGAAACUCAAAGGAAUUGACGGGGGCCCGCACAAGCGGUGGAGCAUGUGGUUUAAUUCGACGGUACACGAAGAACCUUACCAGGAUUUGACAUGCUAGAUAGUUGCUUGAAAGAGUAACGUGCCGUAAGGAAUCUAGACACAGGUGGUGCAUGGCUGUCGUCAGUUCGUGUUGUGAAAUGUUGGGUUAAGUCCCGCAACGAACGCAACCCUUGUCUUUAGUUAUUUUCUAAAGAGACUGCCUGUAAUAAACAGGAGGAAGGUAAAGAUGAGGUCAAGUCAUCAUGCCCCUUAUGUCCUGGGCUACACACGUGCUACAAUGGGAAAGACAAUGAGCUGCAAAUCUGUAAAUUUAAGCAAAUCUCUUAAACUUUCUCGUAGUUCGGAUUGUGGGCUGCAACUCGCCCACAUGAAGUUGGAAUCGCUAGUAAUCGCCAGUCAGCUAUAUGGCGGUGAAUCCGUUCCCGGGCCU